UAUGCGCUAUCCUUUAAUGAAAUGUCUCCGAGAGACAAGCCUUUAAUUUCAAAAUCUCUGUCGGAUGUAGGGUUUUACUGAUUUUUUUCUUUUCAGAAAAUUGCGACGCAAUAUUGGGAGUGGAUAAACGGAUAAAAUGGCAGUUGAGAGCUUCCUUUGAAGUGUUUUCCCUUUUUUGUGGCUGGAUUGAUCGUGUAAUUGAGAGUGAGAGGCGCUGUGUUGUUUGAAAAGCCUCAUGUUUUCACCGGGUCAAGAGGAGCACUGUGCGCCCACCAAAGAGCCUGUAAAAUACGGCGAACUGGUGGUUCUGGGGUACAAUGGAUCACUCCCCAAUGGAGACAGAGGGCGGCGGAAAAGCCGGUUUGCCCUUUACAAGAGAGCCAAAGCCAAUGGUGUUAAACCUAGCACUGUACACAUUCUUAACACACCACAAGCCUGCAAGGCAGUGAACUGUAAGGGCCAGCACAGCAUCUCCUACACACUGUCCAGAAACCAGACAGUGGUGGUGGAGUACAGCCAUGACAAAGACACAGACAUGUUUCAGAUCGGACGAUCGACUGAGGGCCCCAUUGACUUUGUGGUGACAGACACGGUGUCAGGGGGCGGGGAGAGCGAAGACACUCCUAUCACUCAAAGCACCAUCUCCCGCUUUGCCUGCCGCGUGGUGUGUGAACGUAACCCACCCUACACAGCGCGCAUCUACGCCGCAGGCUUUGAUUCCUCCAAAAAUAUAUUCCUCGGAGAGAAAGCAGCCAAGUGGAAGAAUCCGGAUGGUCAUAUGGAUGGGCUGACAACCAAUGGUGUGCUAGUCAUGCACCCACGGGGCGGGUUCACCAAGGAGUCCAAACCCGGUGUGUGGAGGGAGAUAUCAGUGUGUGGAGAUGCUUACACGCUGAGAGAUACACGAUCCGCUCAAACUCGAGGCAAACUGGUGGAGAACGAGAGUAAUGUACUGCAGGAUGGGUCUCUGGUUGACCUCUGUGGAGCCACACUGCUCUGGCGCACAGCUGAUGGGCUUUUCCACACCCCCACUCAGAAGCACCUGGAGGCCUUGCGGCAGGAGCUGAAUGCUGCCCGACCUCAGUGUCCCGUGGGCCUCAACACCCUGGCAUUUCCCAGCAUGCAGCGCUGUAGCCGUUCCCUGACUAGCGGCCCCUCUCAGGAGGACAAGCAGCCCUGGGUCUACCUGGCCUGUGGCCACGUUCACGGCUACCACGACUGGGGCCACCGCUCUGAGCAAGACCCCAAUGCUCAGAGAGAGUGUCCAAUGUGUAGAGCUGUGGGCCCCUACGUACCACUCUGGCUUGGGUGUGAACCAGCCUUUUAUGUGGAUACGGGUGCACCAACAUAUGCCUUCGUACCCUGUGGCCAUGUGUGCUCUGAAAAGUCAGCCCGCUAUUGGGCGGAAAUUCCUUUACCGCACGGAACCCACGCUUUCCAUGCCGCAUGCCCGUUUUGUGCAACCCAACUCAAUCUGACACAAAAGUGGGCCAAGUUGAUCUUUCAGGGGCCUGUUGACUGAGGCUGAGAAUGUAGGGGACGCCAAGCUGAACGAGUGGACACUGGAUUGUUGCGUAUUUGAAAGUCCAUUAUACUGAAAGAGGAUUGAAAGAGGUUGUGACUUACAACCAAUUCAUGCCGCAAGCUGUGAAUCUGCCCUUGAAACGCUUAUACUGGAGAGCAGGGUUUUGCUCUGAUGUUGUCAAAGGUGCCUUUGCGAUUGACACAAGUUGUCCUUCAUGAUUUGCCGACAAUGAGUUGUUGUUUUUCUUCCAUUCCAAAAGUUCACCAGCAUUACCAAAUUACUCAGGAUAUUUCUGAUGCAUUUGUAAAAGAGAUCCUUAACGGCUGCUUCAUCCAGCUCUUGCUGAUCACUGUUCUGGAAGGUCACCACUAACAGGACUUGAACAUCCCUGCUUUAGGUUUUAACAGGCGACCAUUUCAAUGUGUACUGUGUGGGAACACCCAAAGGUCUGAAUCAGAUAUCCCAAAUUCCACAAGCGUCUUCAAGUAAGGAUAUGGUGGAGUAUAGAUGUGGAACUGCGAUACUAAAAUGGUUGUUUCCAAAGAUUAAAAUGGUGCUCCUGUUGUGAUUUUAUGGCAUGAAGAUCUAUCAACAGCUAUUCACAGUUUUGUGGAAUUGACCCUGUGGAUGCUUGCUUUUCCAAUGGAUUGUGCAUUAUGAAAUUAGAUAAGUGAAUUCUAGUUUUAUUUUUGUCUUCCAUGUUCACUAUGGAGCCCCUUAGAGGACAGGGAGGGAAUUUACUUUCUGAUGUAUUUCUGCAAUAGUUUGCAUUCCUUAACAAAAAUAUUUGCAUUCAGUACUUGGACACAUAAAAAAACGAGUAAUCAGUUACUUGAAAUUAAGAAUUUAACUAACGACAUCUAGAAGCAAAAAUGCCACAACAACAACAAAAAAAAAAGCGAACAUUUGCAGUAACACAUAAACAUACGUUCCCAGUCUUCUGAAGCAAUAGUCACUUUAAACCAUGACAGAAUUGACUUCUGGGGUGAAUGAUUCCUUUUACUAGUGUCACAUUUCCACAGUGGCACCAAUUCAUCUUUGCAUCUCUGUUACACUAAGUAGUGUAACACUUUACAAUUUUCAUUUUGGGGUGAAAUAGUCCUUUUUAAGGUGUAAUAUCAAAAAAGCAGUUUAAUUGUUGCCCACAAAAGUUGCCCGGAAAAUAAAAUUUGCAAUAUUUGAGUAGUGUUUAUACUAGCCGAAUAUUUAAAGCUGAACGUGUACUCGAUUAAUCGAUUGCUUGUGCACACCCAUAGUUUCACUACAGUUCGACAUGGUAUUUGUAGUAAAAGAAUAACCAUAAAAUAUACAAAGGUUUUACAGUAACCAUGACUGUUGUAACAAUGUCUGAAAACUUUGUUUUAAAUACCAUACAUGUACAACAAAUUAAACCUGGUGUUCGCAUUGUAAAAACUGUAUUAACCAUGUUCUUUUAGGCGAAAUGGGUGGUUUAAUUUUGGUUUUCCUGUGGGUUUAUUACAAAUAUAAUGGUUAAAAUAUGGUUCCAGUAGUAAAACCAUAGUACAUUUUCAUUGGGGAUAGACAAUGAUAUUGUGAGGGAAUGCAAAACGUGUUGCGAGAGAAACUUCUUGUGAGGAAUCAAGUUAUUGCGAGUUAAUGCAAACUAUUGUGAUGGAAUGCAAAACUAUUUAAGAAAUUACUUCCCUCCCUGUCCUCUUAGGGGUUCAAUAGUUAAACUACAUUGAUCCCUAAAAGUAUUUGGAAACAAAAAAUGUUUUUGCUCUGUACAUGGCCAAUUGAUGUUAUAUCUUUAAGGUUCAAGUGCAGAUUCAAAGCUUUGAUGUAAGGGUAUUUUUAUUUGUUAACCGGAUUAACAAAUGAUGUUGCCAAAUACUUUUGAAACAGGUUAUCAAGCUGGUAUUAUUUAAUACUUAUUGAAAAGAUUGUCCCAUAUAUUUUUUUUAGUACUAUUCAUUUCUAGCCACUUGUUAAUUGUCCACACGGUGAUUGUGUAUAAUCAGAGCUGAUGUGAGAUGUUUUAUUUUCCAUAUGUGCAGAGUGAUUUAGAUUGAAAUCAAACAUGUCAACUUGAUGGGUGUGGAGGUCUGAGGCUUAAAGUGAUAGUUCACCCAAAAAAAAAUUCUCUCAUGAUUUACUCGCCCUCUGGCAUCUCAAAUGUGAUGACUCUUCUCCAGAACACUAAUAAGACACGUACAACGCAAAUAUAUUUUUCGCCUCUCAUUGCUCGCAUGAAUUUGACCGCUGGAUUAUAAAUUUGUGUGUAAACUUGCGUUCAUGUGAGUAAUGCGACAUUUUCUGUGUUCGUGCACGGUUGAGUGCUCAGCCUCUCAAAGUACAUUUUAUUUUUUUGAUUGCAAGCCAAAACAAACACGUUUGACGCAUGCACACUAGAACUGCUUUGUGAUGCUCUUAGCACACACACCAGACACAUGUGCUGGCAACGUACAAAGAUGCGGACUGUCCACGUUUUUAGAAAAACAAGGCUGCACGCGGACGAUCUAUGAUUUCUGUCCCGAUGACAAAAUGAGCAUAUUGGCAUGUGGGAAACUGAAGUAAACUUAAGCCUUCACAGGAGGUCCGAGAGACAGUAAUCACUCUGUAACCAUAAUUGAUAUGUCUUUUAAUUUGUAAUUGGCAGAAAUUCCUCCUUCAGCUUGUUCGCUCAACUCUUGGUUGGUCAUGAAGGUGUUUUAUAAGCUUUAUGAGAUUUAAGAAACUUAUUCCACUAUUUUCCUAGUUUAUACAGAGACCGAUUCUCACAUCUAAUGACAUUUUUUGCUGGGGUGUUUUAGGCAUAUUGAAGGGGUAUUUUUUUAAUGACUCACAUUUGCUUUUUACUCACUGAAAAGGUAUUUUACUACACAAAAGCCCAUGUACAGUUGUUUUCUAAACAGAUCUACUAAUAUAUUCAAUUAUGAACUAUGUGGUAGGGUGUGUGAAUGUAUGAACAACAACAUCUUAUCAUAACGUUUCUAAAUGCAUUUGUCUGGAUUCUUUACACUGUCAGUAGGAAGCAGUCAUAUUUAUUUUGAUUCCAUUUCAAGUCUUUGAUCUCACUUCUGGUUACACUUGUUACCACAAAUUGACCCAAGAUCAGUACUCCCUACCACACUCAAUGUCCAUGUAUUUGUUAGACUUGAGUGUUAAAGAAACAUUGAAAUGUUGUCACUAUGGAUUACAUUUGUACAUGAAAGUUCUGUUUUAUAUUUUUCUCUAGAUUUAUUGUAUUAAUUUUGGAUGUACAGGCAGUUCUUGUGAUAUACAAUAUUCAAUGUUCCUUAAAGAAGAUUUGUUUUUACAUGCUACUCCCUUUUUAGAUAUAUGCAAACAUAUCAUUUGGGAAAUCAUCACCAAAAGUGAAAUACAUUGGUGAGCAGUAUAUUUCCUAAAGCAAUGCUACUGUCUGUUAACGAUGUUGCAUGUAUGAGGGUCUUCCAUGUGUUAACUAAAAAAAAAAAAAAUUGCCAAAAAGGAUUUAAUGAAAAGGCCUCUUAUUUAUUAAUUAUUGAGCGCAAUAAAAACUACACUACAGUGCUUUAGAGUUGUGAUGGAACAGAAGAUUUUUAGAACGUUUCUUUCUGACAUUUGUUAAACAACUAAGACUUUCACCUGCAGUCGUGACUGUUCAGUAUAUUUGAAGAACAGUGUCCUGUACCCAGGCAAACAAUCUUAUUGUCUUUUUUUUUUAGUUUUGUAGAAAAACAUACGCAUUGUUCUUUCCUAGUAUUUCUUAAGAAUUCGUCUUCUACAUAAUCUUUGCAUAAACUUACUCUUUAACCAGAAUAGACCCAGCUCUCAAAUACAGUCAAAACUACAGGGCUCAUGUCUGCAGCAUUUAGUGUGGAACUAUACAGUUCCUCUCGGUUUGAUUCAGGUAUUAUGAUUGAAUAAAGUUUCAUGAACUGAAGUUGCCUAUUUGUCUAUGGUCUUGGAAACGCAUCUGUGCACAAUGAAUAAAGUAAAA